rnacentral:rRNA from 1 species
CCUACGGGAGGCAGCAGUGGGGAAUUUUGGACAAUGGGCGCAAGCCUGAUCCAGCAAUGCCGCGUGCAGGAUGAAGGCCUUCGGGUUGUAAACUGCUUUUGUACGGAACGAAACGGUCUGCCCUAAUACGGUGGGCUAAUGACGGUACCGUAAGAAUAAGCACCGGCUAACUACGUGCCAGCAGCCGCGGUAAUACGUAGGGUGCGAGCGUUAAUCGGAAUUACUGGGCGUAAAGCGCGCGCAGGCGGUUAUGUAAGACAGAUGUGAAAUCCCCGGGCUCAACCUGGGACCUGCAUUUGUGACUGCAUAGCUAGAGUACGGUAGAGGGGGAUGGAAUUCCGCGUGUAGCAGUGAAAUGCGUAGAUAUGCGGAGGAACACCGAUGGCGAAGGCAAUCCCCUGGACCUGUACUGACGCUCAUGCACGAAAGCGUGGGGAGCAAACAGGAUUAGAUACCCUGGUAGUCCACGCCCUAAACGAUGUCAACUGGUUGUUGGGUCUUCACUGACUCAGUAACGAAGCUAACGCGUGAAGUUGACCGCCUGGGGAGUCGGCCGCAAGUUGAACUANAGAGUAGUGNGNGNGAGAGCGACGACGACGACGAGGAGGAGGNG